GGCUGUCGGCUCCCGGCUCGGGGAGACGGUGUGAAGAAGCCGAGGGUGCGGGCGCUGACCUCCUCCUGUCACAUCGCUCCCCUCAGACAUGAUCCGGGGAGGCUCCUGGGAGGACAGAGGCUGGGAUCUCGUCCCGGGAGAGGUUGCCUUUGCUUGGAAGGUCUUCGUAAUGGAAAAAGAACAAUGAAAUCUCAAGCAGAUCUCUAGAUGCUAAACUAGACAAACUAAUCCUUAUUUAAUAGUAUUCAUAAUCAGUUUUCUUGUCUGGUACUACAAUACAGCACAACAAUGUAUGGAAGUGCUCGUACAAUCACUAAUUUGGAAGGCAGUCCUUCCAGAUCGCCUCGAUUGCCAAGAUCACCUCGUUUGGGCCACAGAAGAACAAGCAGUGGAGGAACAGGUACAGGUAAAACACUGUCAAUGGAGAAUAUCCAGUCCCUUAACGCAGCCUAUGCAACGUCUGGACCCAUGUACUUGAGUGACCAUGAGGGUGUCGCCUCUACUACUUUUCCAAAAGGGACUAUGACUCUUGGAAGGGCUACCAAUAGAGCUGUCUAUGGUGGAAGAGUCACAGCCAUGGGAAGCAGUCCAAACAUUGCCUCUGCUGGUCUUUCACACACGGAUGUCCUGUCCUACACUGACCAUAUAGGCUUGACAAGCUCUUCUCACCAUCAUCACCACCAUCACCAGGUACCUUCUAUGUUAAGGCAGGUGAGAGACAACACUAUGCUCGAUCUUCAGGUUCAACUGAAGGAUCUACAGAGGGAAAAUGAGCUUCUGAGAAAAGAGCUGGACAUAAAAGACAGCAAACUUGGAUCUUCCAUGAACAGUAUUAAAACGUUUUGGAGCCCAGAACUUAAGAAGGAAAGAGUCCUUCGAAAGGAGGAGGCUGCAAGGAUGUCUGUUCUGAAGGAGCAAAUGAGAGUAUCUCAUGAGGAAAAUCAGCACUUGCAGUUGACCAUCCAAGCCCUGCAAGAUGAGCUGCGGACUCAGAGGGACCUUAAUCAUCUUCUUCAACAGGAAAGUGGAAACCGAGGGGCAGAGCAUUUCACAAUUGAGCUCACGGAGGAGAAUUUCAGAAGGCUUCAGGCGGAGCAUGACCGGCAGGCCAAAGAACUUUUCCUUCUCAGAAAAACGUUAGAAGAAAUGGAACUGAGGAUAGAAACACAAAAACAGACACUAAGUGCCCGUGAUGAGUCCAUCAAAAAGCUUCUUGAAAUGCUUCAAAGCAAAGGGUUGCCUUCAAAAGGAAUGGAAGAAGAAAACGAGAAAACGCGAAGAAUAGUGGAGGCGGAAUCACAGCUUAAUCAUUUAGAAGUGAUUCUAGAUCAAAAGGAUAAAGAAAAUAUUCAUCUAAGAGAGGAGCUGCACAGACGGAAUCAACUCCAGUCCGAAUCGGCCAAGACCAAAGCUCUGCAGACGGUCAUCGAGAUGAAGAGAUCUCCAUCCCUGUGCUUUGAUCCAGAUUUUAUUUGGCAGGAUACCAAAAUAGCGUCCCUGGAAAGAAAUAUGAGAGAUCUAGAGGACGAAAUCCAAAUCAUUAAAACCAAUGGUGUCCUAAACAUAGAAGACCGCGAGGAAGAAAUCAAGCAGAUGGAAGUGUAUAAAAGUCAUUCAAAGUUUAUGAAAAGCAAAAUUGACCAGUUGAAGCUGGAACUGUCAAAGAAGGAAUCUGAACUCCUUGCCUUACAAACCAAGCUGGAGACUCUUGGCAAUCAGAACUCCGACUGCAAACAACACAUUGAAGUACUUAAGGAAUCUCUUACUGCCAAAGAACAGAGGGCUGCGAUCCUUCAGACGGAGGUGGAUGCAUUACGGCUGAGACUGGAAGAGAAGGAAUCCUUCUUAAACAAAAAGACCAAGCAGCUUCAGGACCUCACAGAAGAGAAGGGCACUUUGGCCGGAGAGAUCAGAGAUAUGAAGGAUAUGCUGGAAGUCAAAGAGAGGAAAAUUAAUGUCCUUCAGAAAAAGAUAGAAAAUCUUCAAGAGCAGCUUAGAGACAAAGACAAGCAACUUGGGAACCUGAAAGAUCGAGUCAAAUCCCUGCAGACGGAUUCCAGUAAUACGGACACUGCACUUGCAACCUUGGAGGAGGCCCUCUCUGAGAAGGAGAGAAUUAUCGAACGUUUAAAAGAACAAAGGGAACGAGAUGACAGAGAAAGACUAGAAGAGAUUGAAAACUACAAAAAGGAGAACAAAGAUCUAAAAGAAAAAGUGAACAGUUUGCAGGCAGAGUUGACGGAAAAAGAGACCAGCUUGAUUGAUCUGAAGGAACAUGCAUCUACUCUGGCUUCAUCAGGAGUGAAGCGAGACUCCAAGCUGAAAUCUCUAGAAAUGGCCAUCGAGCAGAAGAAGGAGGAAUGUAGUAAGUUGGAAGCCCAGUUGAAGAAGCAAGCUGAGCAGUUGUUCAAUCAGAUGUACAAUCCUAAUUCGAACCUUCUGACAGCAGUUUUGGCUCAUGAGGCUGAAGAGGAGGCCAGGAUGCACCCGGAGCUCAAUGAUCGACUCAAACAACUGGAUAAAGAAGUUUCUUACUACAGAGAGGAGUGCAGCAAAACCCAGGCCGAGGUGGACAGGCUCUUACAGAUUCUCAAAGAGGUGGAAAGCGAGAAGAAUGACAAAGACAAGCAGAUAGCUGAAUUGGAAAGCUAUGGGAUCAUGAAAGAUCAGAACAAGAAAUCUGUCAAUCUGAAGCACAAUCAUCAAAUGGAGAAGAAAAAGAACGCAGAUGACCCUCGCCGGAGGGAUGAUAAUAUACCGGACAACUCGCAACAUCUACAGAUGGAUGAUCUCAUGAAUGCUCUUGAAAAGACAAGACAGGAGCUGGAUUCCACCAAAGCUCGUCUCUCCUCAACUCAACAAUCACUUGCUGACAAGGAAGCACACCUGAACAAUUUGAUGAUAGACCGCAGAAAACAACUUGAAGAGAUCCUGGAGAUGAAGCAGCAAGCUCUGCUGGCGGCAAUCAGUGAAAAAGAUGCCAACAUCGCCUUGCUGGAACUAUCUGCCUCAAAAAAGAAGAAAACACAGGAUGAAGUGAUUGCUCUAAAGAGAGAGAAAGACAGACUAGUCCACCAGCUGAAACAGCAGACUCAGAACAGGAUGAAGCUAAUAGCAGACAACUAUGAAGAUGACCAUCACCACCAUCACCACCAUCACCAUCACCACCAUCAUCGUUCUCCUGGGAGAACGCUCUCUAGCCAUAGACCUUCUCCAGAUCAGGACGACGAGGAGGGGAUAUGGGCAUAACAGCUCCAGCAAACCAAAGUUCCAGUUUUAUUUUGUUGGAUGAUCCCGUCUCUGCCGGAGUCACAUCGUCACGACAAGAUCUCAUGCUGUACAUUGAUCAUCUAUCCAACCUUUGCCUAGAGUGAGAACCCCAGAACUUUGAUCUAUAAGCCAGUUAGGGAAAGAGGAACAGGGGAAGGAGAUGGAAGACAUCUGAUGAAAACAAGGAACAACAUUUAACACCAAAGCAGUUAAGAAACAGCAAGAUUCAGCAGAGAAGUGGAAACCGUUCCAAAUUGAUCAAUGUGGAUCCUCAUCUUGUUGAUGGAACGCUGCAGAAUACGACAUCUGUGACUAAUAUGUGGCUGUUGUAUUGUGUUCAGAAGUACAGAUAUGCUGAGCAUCAAAGCAGCAUGUAUUGUGUGUGUAACACAUGGUCUGAACCCACAGGAAGUUCCAGGCAAUUAGAGAGUAAUUCAUAUUGGCGAUGUUCACUCUACAAUAUUGUCACUUGAACAAGUUCUGCCUGUAAUCUAAACUGCCAUCUACACCACGUGGUGUAAAAUAAGGACUGUUUAAUGAUGUCAUGAGAAAAUUAACUGUGCAUCCUUCUUCCAAAGAUAAAAAAAAAACUCUCCCCUAUCCUCUCAGAUUAGUUGAUAACAACAGGCUUUCGAUUUCCAAGAUCAAAUGCGGGUGUUUAUGCUAGUCAAAAAAAAAAUAAUUGCCGAAGUCGUUGGUUGGAUCUGAUUUUCCUAAGCCUUAAAACAGAUGGCCGAUCCCUGCCAAUGUUCAUUACAAAGUUCCCAAUGUGCUCUGGGCCAGGUUGGACAAUCAAAUCAAUAUACAGGCAAUAUUAACUCCUUGCUGCCAGUUUCCUGCAACUCAGCAAAUGGUCUUUGCAGUGUCUUUAGGCAGCAAAAGGGUUAAAAGGAAUACGUAUUAAAAAGUGGCAUGUUUCUCUGACAAUGCAUGGGAUAUCUAAACUAUAAAAAUGCUUAAAAUAUAUACUAAGGAUGGUGGUCACCAGAGGGUAUAGCUGAGAAGACAAGAACAUAUACCAAGGAUGGUGGUCAUCAGUAGGUAUAGGUGAGAAUGCAAAAACACAUACCAAGGAUCGUGGUCACCACUAGGUAUAGCUGGCAAGACAGUGACAUAUACCAAGGAAGGUGGUUACCAGUGAAUAUAGCUGAGAAGAGAAGAACAUAUACCAAGGAAGAUGGUCAGCAGUGGGUGUAGCUGAGAAGUCAAGAACAUAUACCAAGGAAAGUGGUCAUCAGUGAGCAUAGCUGAGAAGGCAAGAACGUAUACCAAGGAUGGUGGUCACCGUAGGUAUCACUGAAAAGGCAUAAAAACAUAACAAGGAUAAUAAUCAUCAGUGGGUAUCGCUGAGAAGAUUAGCAUAUACCAAGGUUGAUGGUCACCAAUAGCUAUAGCUAAGAAGACAAGAACAUAUACCAAGGAAAGUGGUCAUCAGUGAGUAUAACUGAGAAGGCAAGAACGUAUACUGAGGAUGGUGAUCACCAGUGGGUAUAACUGAGAAGACAAGAACUUUUUUGGGUAAAGAUGGUAGAAUUUGAAGACUGUGACAUUAGAAAGAGUCACUCAUGAGGACAUUAAUAUGGUGAUGUUUUAAGAAGUAAUAUGCAUUGAAUUUAGGUUUUGGAUCAAAGAAAAUCAAAGUAUUUUUCUGUUUUCAUCUGUGUUUUGCAUGUUAAAUUUAACUUGUGAAAUGGGACCCAAAAAUGUUUACAUGCAAAACAGAUUUCCUUAUUGUAUAUGUGUCAGGCGUGUGUGUUUUUAAGAUAUGUAUGUCAUUUAAAUAGAAAUAUAUUCUGAUAUUGAAGUCAAGAUAAAAACUCUCCCAUGUUGACCCAAAUCAUUUUGGGUUAUUUUCUGCUAUCAUUUUUUUUUUUACCAAAAACAUAUCCUAAUGGUAUGCCUUUCUAUGGCCAUUGAAAACUGGAAAUAUUUAAUGUGCCAUAAGUAUAUGAUCGAUGGGGAUCUGAUGACUGGGAUACCCACCAAUCUGGAGAGCAAGGGUGUAUGGUGCAUUGUUCUUGGCGUAUUUGGCUUUUUCCAUGUCUCCAAUGAACUUGAUUGGAGGGUGUCCAACUUACCCUUCCCCAGUUGGAACCCCACUGAUCAGACAUUUAUAUCAAAAUGCAAUAAAAAUGUAUUUAAUUUCCAACAACAUGGCACAGUUGUCAUGGCUUUUUGUUUUUACAAGAUUUUUGUAAAAGAUUCUUACUGAUUAGAAUGGAUCCCACUGACCCCUGAUUAGAUUUAUAGAGCCUUUUCAUGUGGCCUAUAUGAAGACUUUUACUUCAAGUACAACCACCAUUUCCAAAAUAACAACACUUUUGGAAAUUAGUACAUCUUCACCCUUGAAGUAUAUCAAUUCCAAUAAAUAGAGUCAAAGAGAUUGAAAACCUUAAACAUUGAAAAAGUUGUUUGCAUUUAGGUUUGAGAUAAAUGGUCAUAUCCACUUGUUUAGUGGUUUGCAUGGUUUCAUAUAGGAAGAAGCUCCUUGUAUAGAAAGAAAUAUAUUAUAUAUAAUUAUAAGCAAGGGUUGCCUUAUGUCCGGCCAUUCUGUUUGUACAGGGCAUACACACAGUAAUGGGAGUUUGCAAUGACUGUUAUCGACAUAAGUAGUUUAUAUUGUCCUAUCAUUUGUAGAUCUUAUUUAUUGGUGAAACAGGUUGCUCAUUGGAUCUUCAAAAUCAGAAGCCGGAUUAUCCAUUAUGUCAUUGAUGAAAGUUUGACUGACGUCAUGUAUUCUCCAUAGGUAGAGUAAUUUCUCUCAAUAUUUUCUGUGGUGCACUGGACAUCUCCCUAGUCCCUAUUGCCUUUAUUACUACAUUUUAGGGUAGAUUUGCACCUCCGAUUAACUGAUCCAGCAGGAAGUUCUGGUAGAGAACAGCCUGCUGGAGUUUACUGGGUACAGUCUAGUCAUAUACUUCCGUUCAUCGCUGGAUCUCAUUGACUAUGCUUUCCAGCAUGAAUGCCGAGUUUUGGUCGGAGAAAAGGCUAUGUAUGCAGCAGAGACUUAGGAACAGCCUGCCGGAUCAGUUAAACAGAGGUGUGAACCUACCCUUAUUAUUAUUUCGCUUGAUCUGAGAUGCCAAAUUGGCUUUGACAUAACAUUGCAAGAUAAUACGACCUGGAUCGGUAAAUACCUUCAUAGUUAAUUCUACAUACAAUUAUACUGGCAAUAGCCUCGUAGUUCUUCCUCAUUUCCCUUGCUGAUGCUUCCACACAUCUAUGGGGUCAACAAAAAAGUUACAAAAAAAUAAAAUGUACAUAUUAUGUUAUUUUAAGACACCAUUAAAGGGUUUGUCUCAUCAAAGACAAAACUUUUAAAUAAUAUUAAUCGCUGUAAACACCAAAUCUCACAGUAGAAAGGUGUAUUACUCAAGGUUCAAGAGGUUAGGCUCAUUUCAUAACAUUCCAUCAUUAACACAUCUGCUUAGAGUCACAUAAGUCGAGGAUUCCAUACACAUAAGAGCAAAGUUGACCAAACUCACCGAUUUCAGUGGGGCUGGCCCGACCAAGCGGUUUGACUUUUGGGCUAGCCCUGUGGGCAUUAUCCUGGUGGUCCCCUGAUUUUAACCCUUUAAUCCCUAUGCAGGGAUCUGGCCUUUACUGCAGAAGAGCCACCAGGCUACUACCUCUUGGAAUAGUCCCAGUUGGCUGCUGACCCACUGAAGUCAGAAGCACCCUCGCAAAGCACCGAGAGAUCAGGCAAUUCACAUAGUCCAGAAACAGGCAGAGGUCAGGGCAGGCAGAGCAUGUAUAAAUCCAUAAAAGAGUCCAGGUAGGCAGGACAUGGUCAGUACAGUGACCUGGCAUGGGUUAGGUCAGGCGGCAGAGAGUCGUGAUCCAGGAAACAGGCAGAAGUUGGUAUGCAGAUGGAUUACAGCUCUUUUGCAGGGCCUGGCCACUAAGUAAAAUAAUCUAUUGCUCUGGCAGGGGAUGGAACAAACAGCCCACCAUAGAUAAGAGGGCAGAUGAGCUCAAAAUUCAAACAUCUGAACACAGAGCAAAAAGGGGAAUUAACCCUUGCAGUGCUGCAGGGAGAGAUUCAGUGAAUAGACACUAAUACAGUUACACACAGGAAAGGGUCCUAAUAACCAGGUGAGUGGAAGCUAGGUGAGUGAUGCAGGAUCUGUGCCAACCCUGAUAGUGAGAUGGCGGCGGACAUGAAGCAUUGCCAUUAAAUGUAUACAGUAGAAUAUAUCUAAUAUGAAGGUUGAUCAAGGAUAAAAUACAUGUUGUAACCUACCAUUCUAGAUAUACCGAAUUUCAUCUGGUCCACAGGGUUUUCUAAAUGCUUUCUAUGCACACCUGACUUCAGGAAAUCCGAUAACUACAGAGUUUACAGCACUCAGGUAUCUGAAAUCAGUUAUCACAGCAAUGAAUUAAUUCUGUCGAGGUGUGCACACACUUACUUGUUGAUUUCUUGGUCUGAUAGAUCAACAUGUAUUUUACAUAUAAACAAAAUUGCUAUUCCUUCAUAGACCAUAUUAUAGAGAGGGAGGAAGGGUGCCAGGAAGAGAGCAUGAUGCAAAAUCUAAUAUUUACAUAAAAUUAGCUACAAUAUACAGUACUGUUCAAAAAAAUAGUAGUGAGUUUAAAAAAGCAAAUAAACUCCAAAAUCAUUAUAAUAACUUUUAUUUCCAUAAAUCCAAAUGCACUGUAAAUACUACACAUUCAAUUCCAAAUCAAGACAAUAACAAAAAAUUUCCAGGUUUACAGAAAGUAAAGAAUAUUAGACUGUUCAAAAAACUGCAGUGCCAGCAUUCUACUUUACUGAAAAAUGCAAUGUGUAUACUAAAAAAAUGUUUGAGAUUGUGCUUUACUUUGAAUGACUAAUCUAAUAUAUAGCGGCCUAACCAUUGUUUCUGAGAACUGCUUGACAUCUGUGUUGCGUGAAGUCGACCAACUUCUGGCUCCUCUAAACAGGUAUUACAGUCCAGGACGAUGGGACUACAUUCCACAGUUCUUCAUCAUUUUUGGGUUUUGCCUCAUAAACCGCAUUUUUUUGUGACCCCACAGGUACUCUAUGGGAUUGAGGUCAAGGAUUAGGCUAGCCGCUCCAUUACCUCAACCCUGUUUGUCUGUAACCUAGAAGGUGUUCUCUUACUGGUGUGUUUUGGGGUCAUUCUCGUGUUGAAACACCCAUUUCAAGGGCUUUUCUUCUUUGGCAUAGUGUCACCACCAGACAUCUG